GGGCCCGUGGCCCAGCCUGGAUAGGUUAAGAAGCCCAGAGGGGGCGGCGGCCUUCUAAGCCGUAGGUCCCGGGUUCGAAUCCCGGCGGGCCCG
rnacentral:tRNA from 3 species